rnacentral:misc_RNA from 1 species
CCGAGUUUACAACUCCCAAACCCCAAUGUGAAACAUACCUAAUACUGUUGCCUCGGCGGGGGAUCACGCCCCGGGCGUCGCAGCCCCGGAAACAAGGACGGCCCGCCCGGAGGGACCCAACCUAAACUCUUUUCUGUAGUCCCCUCGGGGACGUUAUUAUUACAGCUCUGAGCAAAAAAUUCAAAAAUGAAAUCA